rnacentral:rRNA from 1 species
AUUGAACGCUGGCGGCAGGCCUAACACAUGCAAGUCGAGCGGAUGAAGGGAGCUUGCUCCUGGAUUCAGCGGCGGACGGGUGAGUAAUUCCUAUGAAUCUGCCUUGUAUUGGUUGAUAACGUCCUGAAACGGGCGCUAAUACCGCAUACUUCCUGAUGGAGAAAGUGGGGGAUCUUCGGACCUCUCGCUUUCAGAUGAGCCUAGGUCGGAUUAGCUAGUUGGUGGGGUAAAGGCCUACCAAGGCGACGAUCCGUAACUGGUCUGAGAGGAUGAUAAGUGACACUGGAACUGAGACACGGUCCAGACUACUACGGGAGGCAGCAGUGGGGAAUAUUGGACAAUGGGCGAAAGCAUGAUAAAGCAAUGCCGCGUGUGUGAAGAAGGUCUUCGGAUUGUAAAGCACUUUAAGUUGGGAGGAAGGGAAGUAAGUUAAUACCUUGCUGUUUUGACGGUAACAACAGAAUAAGCACCGGCUAACUUCGUG